GGGGAACUCUUUGCCAGUCGGACCUUGUCAUCCUGGAGGAGUGCUGCUGAUGCCAAUGGAGACUCAAUAGAUUGCUACACAGAUAUCCCAAAGAUCAUCUAUGCUUCUAGAACUCACUCACAGCUAACUCAGGUCAUCGGUGAGCUUCGGAAUACUUCCUACCGCUAUCAUGCUGCCUGUGGUCGGGGUCAGCUCUGGCUCCUCAAGGCAGCUACUUUGCUCGUGAUGGAAGAAGAGUCCACCUUUAGCGAGAAUCCAGCGGAGUCUUGAUGUCUCACUAGGGCUCCCAUGUGGAAGAACUUGGACAGCCCAAGGUGUGUGUGCUGGGCUCCCGGGAGCAGCUGUGUAUUCAUCCCGAAGUGAAGAAGCAAGAGAGUAACCACAUGCAGAUCAGUUUGUGCCGUAAGAAGGUGGCAAGUC
rnacentral:lncRNA from 1 species